AGUGAACGCUGGCGGUAGGCCUAACACAUGCAAGUCGAACGGCAGCACAGUAAGAGCUUGCUCUUACGGGUGGCGAGUGGCGGACGGGUGAGGAAUACAUCGGAAUCUACUUUUUCGUGGGGGAUAACGUAGGGAAACUUACGCUAAUACCGCAUACGACCUACGGGUGAAAGCAGGGGAUCUUCGGACCUUGCGCGAUUGAAUGAGCCGAUGUCGGAUUAGCUGGUUGGCGGGGUAAAGGCCCACCAAGGCGACGAUCCGUAGCUGGUCUGAGAGGAUGGUCGGCCACACUGGAACUGAGACACGGUCCAGACUCCUACGGGAGGCAGCAGUGGGGAAUAGGGGACAAUGGGCGCAAGCCUUAUCCAGCCAUACCGCGUGGGUGAAGAAGGCCUUCGGGUUGUAAAGCCCUUUUGUUGGGAAAGAAAAGCAGCAGGUUAAUACCCCGCUGUUCUGACGGUACCCAAAGAAUAAGCACCGGCUAACUUCGUG
rnacentral:rRNA from 1 species